rnacentral:rRNA from 1 species
UAAUACGGAGGGUGCAAGCGUUAUCCGGAUUCACUGGGUUUAAAGGGUGCGUAGGCGGAUUAGAAAGUCCGUUGUGAAAUCUCUGAGCUUAACUCGGAAAUUGCGGUGGAUACUAUUAGUCUUGAAUACUGUGGAGGUUAGCGGAAUAUGUCAUGUAGCGGUGAAAUGCAUAGAUAUGACAUAGAACACCAAUUGCGAAGGCAGCUGGCUACACAGAUAUUGACGCUGAGGCACGAAAGCGUGGGGAUCAAACAGG